GCAGGCACACACCACCAAUGAGUGAAGAAGGCUGCUGUGGCAUGCUCGGGACCUAGAGGGAACCUGCCUCAUUGACAGGGGACAGCAGCUGCACAGCUCCAGACAAUCGUUGUCAAGGACGGGAAUGAGAUUCUAACAUGGCUGAUCUGAUUUUUCAAGAAAGAUGAGAAAAAUAGUAAUGGAGGAAAUGGAAGGAAAAAGGAUGGCCAUAAGUUGGAGGCAGGUGAAAGACCCAAAUUCAUGGAAGAGAAGUGAGUCACACAGGGAGCCAGUGGCAGAGCCACACCCCACAGAGCAAUCAACAUGCUCUACUCUGCAGACCUGCAACAGGGAGGGAAGCCAGACUCUGAUGCAAGAAGGAAAGACCAUGUGCUGGCUCAGUGUGUGCAGCCUGGACUGAGCUACUGAACUCUAAAUCCAAGGAUGACUAAUGUAAGCCUAAAGGGUAAUCUGCAAAUACUGCUCCAUUAAUAUUCAAUGAUAAAUGAUAUUGCUUUAGAAUCAAAUUCACAUAAACAGAAGCUUCAGCUGUAUGUCCGCACCCUGGGAACAUUAAAUUGUAAGCCACGUCUUGUGAGGCAGAAUGACAUUAAUACCAGACCUGAUGAAGACAGCACAAAAAGUAAAUCUCAACACAACCUCACAAUAUUAAUAAAGCAAAAAUUUUAAAUACAGUAAUGUAUUAGCAAGGAGCAAAGGCCCAGAGAGCGAGGAAGCCAGGAGAUGAGCUCUCCCACCUUGUGACUGGGAUUGCGGAGCAGGUGGCAUGACAGACCCUGGGGAAAACGGCAUCUCUUUCUUGGGAAAUUGUCGCUUCUCUUUUUCCCUUUUGGAUCAACACAUUUCAGGACUCGGCCAAACAGUGUAUUUAAAGAGAAAAAAGAGGACGAGAGAGCCAACGCAAAAUUAACCUAACACUCGGCAAAUAACAGGGAUCUGCAGCAAAGUUUUAGUAUUCUUGCAACCACAUUUCAGUUUAGCUUAAUUUAGCCAAUUCCCCAAAUGUGCAGGGUUUCC
rnacentral:lncRNA from 1 species